UACGUAGGGUGCGAGCGUUGUCCGGAAUUACUGGGCGUAAAGAGCUCGUAGGUGGUUUGUCGCGUUGUCCGUGAAAACUCACAACUCAAUUGUGGGCGUGCGGGCGAUACGGGCAGACUGGAGUACUGCAGGGGAGACUGGAAUUCCUGGUGUAGCGGUGGAAUGCGCAGAUAUCAGGAGGAACACCGGUGGCGAAGGCAGCUCUCUGGGACGGUACUGACGCUGAGACGCGAAAGCGUGGGGAGCGAACAGG
rnacentral:rRNA from 1 species